GAUGAACGCUGGCGGCGUGCCUAAUACAUGCAAGUCGAGCGAACGGACGAGAAGCUUGCUUUUCUGAUGUUAGCGGCGGACGGGUGAGUAACACGUGGAUAACCUACCUAUAAGACUGGGAUAACUUCGGGAAACCGGAGCUAAUACCGGAUAAUAUUUUGAACCGCAUGGUUCAAAAGUGAAAGACGGUCUUGCUGUCACUUAUAGAUGGAUCCGCGCUGCAUUAGCUAGUUGGUAAGGUAACGGCUUACCAAGGCAACGAUGCAUAGCCGACCAGAGAGGGUGAUCGGCCACACUGGAACUGAGACACGGUCCAGACUCCUACGGGAGGCAGCAGUAGGGAAUCUUCCGCAAUGGGCGAAAGCCUGACGGAGCAACGCCGCGUGAGUGAUGAAGGUCUUCGGAUCGUAAAACUCUGUUAUUAGGGAAGAACAUAUGUGUAAGUAACUGUGCACAUCUUGACGGUACCUAAUCAGAAAGCCACGGCUAACUACGUG
rnacentral:rRNA from 1 species